rnacentral:tRNA from 1 species
UGGCUCAGAGGUUAAAGCAUCUGCCUGCAAUGUGGGAGACCCAGGUUCGAUCCCUGG